AAGUCGUAACAAGGUUUCCGUAGGUGAACCUGCGGAAGGAUCAUUAACAAUGAAUCUCUUCAUUAACACAGUGUACCGUCGGGUGGGAGUGAGGCCUCGGCUAAUCUCCCGCCCAAACCCCAAACACUACAACUUUAAUCAGAGUCAAAUAACUUUUGUUAUACAGACAACUUUUAGCAACGGAUCUCUAGGUUCUC
rnacentral:misc_RNA from 1 species